UGGGCCUCAAACUAUCUUUGAAAUUCCCAUCAAAUGUGGCUCGAUAGAACAUCAAAUGAUAGUCAAAAAUAGGAACAAAAUUUCGAAUCAGUUUAAGGUGAAAUUUGAGCACAGCAGAAGCCACAGCUAGCCAGAAAGUGGACAAAAAUUUCCAGGAAAGGCAAUCGGUGAUCAAUCGUCAUGUACUCACUAGUCCAGCAACUCGAUAUCGCCUUCAUCCACCUCAUCGUCAUCAUUCUCUUCUCCAUGGUCUUCAAAGAUAGCAUCCUCGUCGUCGUCAUGCACGCGAUCGGGGGUCCGUUCAUUCUGGUUACCGUUGGGGAUUUUGCCAGCAAUACGACGACCGCCCCGUGACAUGGGCGGCGGGGAGUGACGUCGAUUGCGUGUGGAUUGAACGGACAGACCGACGCCCUGCUCAAGAUUCUCCUCCUCCUCAUCGCUCUCGAUCUCAAUCUCAUCGACAUCGCGCUGACUGACCCUUCGCUCUGGCAUUUUAUCAAAACUUUCUCGUAUUCCUUUGCACAAAUCCUUUGUUUAAAUCAGUCUUCACAACACAACAACAAAAACACCCACUCUGGAUACUUUGUAAGAAUGUUUUUUUAAUAAACUAAUUGUUUAUGGGGA